GAUGAACGCUGACAGAAUGCUUAACACAUGCAAGUCAACUGUGGCGGACGGGUGAGUAACGCGUAAAGAACUUGCCUCACAGAUAGGGACAACAUUUGGAAACGAAUGCUAAUACCUGAUACUGUGAGAAAGCUUUGCGUCCCAUUAGCUAGUUGGAGAGGUAACGGCUCACCAAGGCGAGGAUGGGUAGCCGGCCUGAGAGGGUGAUCGGCCACAAGGGGACAGAGACGCGGCCCUUACUCCUACGGGAGGCAGGAGUGGGGAAUAUUUGAAGAUGGACCAAAGUCUGAUCCAGCAAUUCUGUUUGCACGAUGAAGUUUUCGGAAUGAAAAGGGCUUUCAGUUGGGAAGCAGUACCAACAGAAGAAGUGACGGCUAAAUACGUGCCAGCAGCCGCGGUAAUAC
rnacentral:rRNA from 1 species